CAUUUAUUCCUUAUUCAUGUAAUGGACAAUGUUUUGGCAAUACUGUGCAAGUCAUGAAUUCACUUGAAUAUAAAUGAGUGUGUAUGUAGUGUGUGUGAAAGAGAGAGAGUGUGUGUGUGUGUGUGUGUGUGUGUGUGUGAGAGAGAGAGAG